GAAGGUAUAGCUCAGUGGUAGAGAACAUGCUUAGCACACACGAGGUCCUGGGUUCAGUCCCCAGUCCCUCCG
rnacentral:tRNA from 1 species